GUAAAAGUGAUGGGCAACCAUGGUCAGAGAACAAGGCAAAGGUAUCAUUAUCACAUUACAUCACAUCACUGAUCAUCAGGCCAUUGACCACCAUCAUAAUAAGCUGCAACCUCCUAAAGCAGAAAGAAAGAAUUUGAAAGAAAGAAAUGAAGCUGACCAGUGAGUCUCUGCCUCAAGAAUGUAGAAGUGAGCCCAUUCUGCAAACCAUCUCAAAGCUCCAGAGUUCUGAAUCAGAAGGAUUAAAAUGGCUGACCAACCAAGAGACUUACAGUCAUGAAUUUCUGCUUGCAAAGGCUGAAUUGCUGCUGGAAAAGCGGAUUAAGGCUGGGGAUCCUUUGGCAUCUUUUCUCAAAGGACAGCUAUAUUUUGAAGAGGGAUGGUAUGAAGAGGCAUUGUUGCAGUUUGAACAAAACACAGAUCUUCAGUCCAUGUAUCAACUAGGUGUAAUGUACUAUGAUGGACUGGGGACCCCACCAGAUCCUAAAAAAGGAGUUGAACACAUGGAGAAGAUUGUCAUCUCUAACUCCCCUAAAGCAAGGCAUUUAAAAUUUGCUGCUGCAUACAACCUUGGAAGAGCUUACUGUGAAGGAUGUGGAACCGAGAGUUCAGAGAAAGAAGCUGAAAGAUUCUGGCUUAUUGCUGCAGACCACGGGAACCCAAAAGCAAGCGUAAAGGCUCAAACAGCCCUUGGGAUGCUGUAUUCAGCAAAGCAUCCAAAGGAUCUGAAAAAGGCAUUUUUCUGGCAUUCAGAAGCUUGUGGAAAUGGAAGCCUGGAAUCACAGGGCAUCCUUGGUCUUAUGUAUCUUUAUGGACAUGGUGUACGUCCAAAUUUAAAGGCUGCUCUGGAGUGUCUGACUCAAGCCUCAGAUCGUGGAAAUGUCUACGUUAAAGGUCAUUUGGUAGAAUAUUACUACAGACGAAAAUUUUUUACAAAAGCUGCUGAGUUUGCCAAAAGAACAGCAGAAAAUGAUGAUGUUGAAAAGAUAGCAAAGACAACAGACUGCCUUCCUUUUUACAUAAAAAGAGGGCUUGCUAUGGCUUCUUUCUACUUGGCUAGAUGCUUCCAGCUUGGCCUAGGAACACAACAAGAUUUAGCGGCAGCUAAAAAUUAUUAUUCUAAGGCAUGCAGACUGGACCCAGCUAUAGCUGCUGAUCUUGAGCUAACAGCUAAUCAUGGAAGAAUUUAGAGUAUCAUUUUGAUGAAUUUGAAGAAACAAAGAAAGAAGAGAAGCAGAGGAGACUAGUAAUCAAACGGUAAUUGCAAUCUAAGUCAUUAACGGGUCGAAAAGACAUAUCCCUGAAGGGUACCAUGUGGACCCCACAGUGGCCAAUUCAGAGACAAGAGGCAUACAUGGAAGGAAGAAGCAGCUGUAAACCAUGGGGCAUGCCGGCAGUCCACAGAUCACCACAAGGCUCUCUACAAUUAUUACACUGAUUAAAUUAAAAAUCAAUUUGAAUAUUGAUUACUGUGGAACACCACACAGAAAAAUGCUCUUAAAAGUUGGAGGAAGGAACAUCUAGAAUUGUACCAUACACAAUUCUGUAAAUCCCCAAAGGUACCACAGAUGCACUCAAAGCCUCCUGGGUAUGGCAAAAGUCAGGGUCUUCCCCCCUGUCCUCAAACCUUCCAGGGGGCUUUGUAGUGCUGGGUAGGUCCAAAUCCUUAUUAUUCAUCAGUGUCUGCAGAUACCUAGAGGCCUCUGGAUAGAUUGUGCAUGAUUGGGAAGAUCAAGAAUUAGUAAAUUUCUCUGAUUUAGCUGAUCCCUUUUCCUCCCAGUUUCAACCACAACACUGAAUUUCCAGGGGAUUUUGUCCCCCAAAUCGCUUCAGUGGAUUUUGCUCAUCCCUAAUUAAAACAAAUCCUGCAAAUAAUUCUAAAAGGGUAGAGGAUAAAACACUAGCUAAUGCUGCAAGCGAAGGAUAAGGUCCAGAAGCCAGUACCAAGAAUCCUAGUGUUACGACCCAAGGAAAGAGUAAAUUUAAGUAACAAACAAACUCAUGUCAUAUAGUAUGUUAGUAACUCACAUAAAGAAGAUGUUUAUUGGCCUUGGUUUCUUGAAGUGCAUUGAAUACUUUGAUUACACCAUGGCGAGCAUUUUGCUGUCCAACAAGACUCUGUAGUGUAUCUGAAAGAGAAAAAAAUGUAGUUUUGAUUAUGUAUUUGCUAAUGUGUAUGAAAAAAUGUUAACGAUAUAAUGUGUAAUGAAAUAGGUGUAUUGAAACAUGUCUUCAAGGGUUGCAUAUGUCUAAGGGCCAAACCAGAUGCAACGGCUACAGACUGGCAUGAGUGACUCCCCUUUGGUAGUUGGGCAAGGGGUUCUGAUGGGAGCUUGACCCAACGGAGCGAAAGGGUGUAUGGGGGAGGGUUCAGCUCCUCUUGUCUGCUCUUGUUAUACAAACUCUCUAUAACUGGGCUCCAAUAUCAGAAGUAAACCUUGGUGGGAAGAUCUCAGCUUCCUUCACUUGUUUCCCCUCUUUUGCUCUCAAAAUCUGAUCUCCCACUAAAAGCAUGAGUCUGCUAUCAUCUAAUUUGGCCCUAAUUUGCAUCACCGCAUCACACAAAUAUUCAACUCUGGCAGUCAUAGCAGCAAUGUGGCUCAAUAGGAGUGUUGAACUGGAGAAACCUGGAUUCAAAUUCUUGUUUAGUUAUCACUUUAUUGUGAGCCCAGCCAAGUCAUUGCCUUCAAACGUAUUUUCAAUCCUGAAAUGCAGUGAACUAUUUUGUCAAAAACAACUCUUCCUAGAGAUUUUCAAAAUGGAAUUUAAAUUAUUCCAUUUUGGUGCAUGUGGAAAGUUUAAUGAUAGGAGAUAGUCCUAUACUCUAUUUCAACCCCCCACUCCAGUCUAGCAUAAAUAUUUAAGGAUGAAAAACACUGGCCUUUAUGCCAAUCAUACCUUUUAAAAUAUUGCUUAGCCAUCUUGCCCAACAGUUUAAAUUAAACCAUAGAGCAAACUGGCUAGGUACAAAAUAAAAUGGAAUAUUUGGGCAAGAAUUGGUAUACUUGAGCUACACUAAGUUGAAUCUUUACUGAAUUGAAAGGGUAGUAAAUGCCCAUUAAAAAUAUGCUUUUUUCUGCAACAGUUGAUUUUUGUAUUGUAUUUUUAGUGGGUUUUUAAAAUCCUAUGAUGGUUGUUUUUAACGUUCUGUAAACCGCUUUGAUGUUUUUAACAAAAUAGUAUACAAAUAUUUUUAUAAAUAAAUAAAUAAAGCCCAGGGCAGGGAAGAGUUCAUGAGUCAAUGUCAGACUGUCUAACAUCUCAAAUCAAUCUAAAAUGUUUAACUCUUGCAUUGAAAUGGAAUGAAACUUAUAAAAUAAUGACUUCCUGGAUAAGAACAAAAGGGAAGCCCACUUUAUUCUCAAAGCAGCUAACCACACUCCUUUGGGAAGCCCAUAAGCGGGACAUGAGCACAAUAUUCCUCUCUCACUCAUGAUCCAACUGGUAUUCAGAAGCAUACUGCCUCUGAUCCU